rnacentral:rRNA from 1 species
UACGAAGGGGGCUAGCGUUGCUCGGAAUUACUGGGCGUAAAGGGCGCGUAGGCGGAUAUUUAAGUUGGGGGUGAAAUCCCGGGGCUCAACCUCGGAAUUGCCUUCAAAACUGGAUAUCUUGAGUUCGGGAGAGGUGAGUGGAACUCCGAGUGUAGAGGUGAAAUUCGUAGAUAUUCGGAAGAACACCAGUGGCGAAGGCGGCGACCUGGGUAGAUACUGACGCUGAGGCGCGAAAGCGUGGGGAGCAAACAGG